UAUCCUAAUGUAGUACUUUGUGAAAUAAAGAAAAGCAUUGUACUUAUAUAUAUUACUCUCUGUAACAGACUCGUCUUGCACUUUCAAUGGGAACCGAAAUGACUCGAAAAGUGUUCUAAGAACCUUCUAAAAACGGGACACCAUUUAUGCUGAUAACACCAAUGCAAAGUCUAUGUCUUAUGCACCUUCAAGUCCUGGGACAUAAGCAUCAGAACUGUCAAAGAAAGAGCUUCAAAUGAAAAUUAGGAGGGAUAUAAAGGUGUUGGGCUAGCCAAGACAGUGAAGACAAAGAUGUUUCAACGUCACUAAAGACUAAAGCUUUUCUCCAAACUUGUAAAACUGUUUCUGAAGCUCGUGCUUCUUUGUGGGAGAAAGUGGAAAAGGCUAACCACAUGGCUAGGUAAGAAGUCGAAGUUGCAUUGUUAAUUUGAUCAUGCUUUAAACUGAAAACGAUUUGGGUGAGGUCCAUGUUCAGAUGGGAGAAUAAUCAGAAGGUGAAAUUUUGAAGGAAAACUGAGGUACGGAGCCUGAAAAAAACUCAAGAAACAAAGUCAAAGUUGAUCAUGUCUUCUGUUUAUAAUUAUGUGUAAUUGAUGGGGGUAUUCUUGAUAUUGCAGGUGGAAGUUGAGAAGGUGAAAGGACGACUGCAAGACCGGUUGAUGAAGAGACUUGCUGCGGUAGAGUGCAAAGCAAAGGAGAAGUGACAAGCUGCUGAAGCUAAGAAGAAUUGUGAAGCAACUAAAACAGAGAAACAAGCUGAACAAAUCCAAGAACAGACAAUGUAUCUUAAUUGUUGCCAUAUUGCUUUAGCUUUUGUUCUUAGUAGUUAGUAGUAACAUUAAAAUCCAAUAUGUUUUGGUGUUUGUUAAUUCUAUUAAUAAAAUUUGUAUCUUAUAACUUACGAUUAUUGUUUACUAUUAUUGUUUCACAAAACAAUAAAGAAGAUACAAAAUUAUGUCUUACAGCCACACAGAGACGAAAGAAACUCGAAGGUCAGAGUUGUUAGACAAUAUCAACCUCGCUACACCACGUCCUUUCGCCUCUAAACCAAAAUCCAUUGGUUUGUCACCACUACCGAAAGCAAACUUGUAAAAUACGUCAGAUUUCUUGAUGGUGAAGGUACUGUCAUUGCUUGACAUGGAUCCCGACAGGACCACUUCUUUGACUAGCGAUGAACUAUCUGGGACUCUCCAAAACUCGGAUUCCCGCAGUGACUGGGCAUUAUGAACUUGAUACUAAGAUCUGUUGAUACACGUACAACAUCCGAUGAUAAUACAAAUAUAAUUGGUCGAGGUGGGUGUAUAAUUUCAUCAAAUAUUGAUACCACUCUAUGUAGGCAUGAAAAGGCUUUAUGUCUCUUUCUUCUGUAACGGGUAAUCGAUGCUCUUUGCUGCAGAUUGUGUACUUCGACGAGAUAGGGAGCAUCGGCCUGUACUGGCUCUCAUGUAGAAUCAUACACUUCUUCAUUCUCACCAAGAACAACACCGGAUGAUGUUAUUGCAACGAGUAAGAAAGUUAUCAUCAACCGGAAUAUUGUGAUUGCACCAUCUGUUUUCAUCUUCCUCUUUCUUUCUUUGUGCUCUUUUUGUUGAGCUUAUUUGAUAAUGCUAAUGCUUGCUACUGUAUUUGUAGAGAUUCGUUAGGAUAUAAUAUAAUAUAAUAUAAUGGGGUUCCAUACCCAUUUUUUACUCGUCAUGAUGAACGUGCUUACAUCAAUUUUCCAUUACAACCUGGAUAUAGAUUACGAAUUUAUUUUUGUUAAUAAUACCUACUAAUUAAGAAAUAAACACAUCUCAGGCAAGAUCAUAUUAAUGAUUUUUUUUCUCUCCCUCUAGGUUUUUAGUCUUGUGAUGGGUUACUGUUAAAGGAUACAUGAGAUACUCAUACUCCACAUCAAUGCCGAAUAUUCACAACAUCAGUCAUAUGGAUCCUUAUCUUCAUUACUCGGAUAUACUCAUAUCCUCUAUACACGGAAACUUCCGUAUAUGUCUCUCUCUAUAAUAGGCUGACACUCCUGUAUAUAAAUUCAUAUUAAUCAAUCACGCAAGAUCAAUAAGACGUAACAAAAUCAAACAAUGACAUUUGGGUAAAAUCAAUAUGGUACCCUUUUCUUUCUCCAUUUUUGUUUUGUUAUUCGGAAUCUAGGGUUAAUGGUGGCGACCCUUUAUAAUGAUUUCUUAAUACUCUUUUUAAAACGUUUUUUGUCGACAUUUGCUUAGUGAAAUCUUUCAAGAACAGGGUUAUUGUUCCUUUAAGUUGAAAUGGUCUCUUCUUGUUAGUUGUUACCUUACACUUAAGCUUAUCUCGCUUUUGUUCUUCUUCAACAGCGAGAUCUGUAUCAAUGAGAGACAUGAAAACCAAAAUGAAUCCAAUAGUGAUCCAAGACCCUUCUAGAAACGGGACGCCGAAUAUGCUGACAACACCAAUCCAAAGUCAUGUGUCUUCUCCACCUUCAAGUCCCGGGACACAAGCAUCAGCUUCUAUUAUGAAAACUAGGAGGGAUAUAAUGGUAUUGGCAACUGAUCUUAGGACACUAAAUAUUGCUGCAUGUGCUAGCAAAGAAGAUGAAGAGAAAGGUGUUUCAACGUCAGUAAAGAUUUUACUAAAGCUUCUCUCCAAGCUUGUAAAAGUGUUUCGAAGCUCGUGCUUCUGCUUGGGAGCGAAAAAAGUUAAGCACAUGGAUGUAAAUGUGACAAAACAAGAACAAGAUUGAAGCUUUUACUGCAAUAUACUUCCAACUUAAGAAAAUACAAAGGGUUUACAAUGAGCUUAAAUAGAGAGCGUGGAACGAUCUAGAGGGUUUCAUCUUUACAGCUGCAUCCUUAUCAUCAUAGUUGUAAAGUGUAUCAGUCAAGAAAAAUGAACAAGAGAUGGAGACAACGGUUCUCCAAGAUUGUCUCUUCUCCUCUCGUAUGUUCUGCUUUUCCUCUGUUCUGAGUAGAGGAGAGCUGACGCUUGGACUGUAGCAUAUUCACAGUUGGGCUUGCUUCAGCUUGGGCUUUAGAUGACACUUUGUCGAGACCCAUUAGUGUAUUGUCACUAACAUUCUCCCUCAAACUUAGUGGGGCUUCUUGCACACCAAAUUUGCUUCUUAACUCACAGAAGGCUUUCCUUGGCAAGGAUUUGGUAAUUAAAAAUAUAGAAAAACAUAAGUUGAGGAGAUAUAGCUAGCCUAGGCCCAUUGGUAUCCAUCUUAUAUAAUAAAGGAGAUUUUGGUCUCUCCACAUUCAUCCACAUCAGCAGUCACGUAGGGGCAAAACACUCCACGUGUCCAUCUCUUUUACUUUAUGCAGAGUAGUGUAGUCUCUGAUUGUAUUUAUGUGCUACGUUGGUGGUGGGUUUAUAUUUAUGUGCUACGUUGGUGGUGGGUUUAUCAAAGGCAACAUCACUCCACUUAUUCAUCGUUUACUCUCAUUUUCAAUUAGUAAUCGAAUGAAGGAUUCAGUUGUUGAAAUCCAAAAGAAUCUGAGAGGAUUUUAAUUUACGCCAGCGACAAAUUCAGAGACGGAGGAUUUGCUGGGAUGUAAAGAAGGUGAGGUAGAGGAGAAGAGAGAACUCCGGAGGGAGUGAUAUUGGUUGUGAAUCUAUCUGGCGGCGAUGAAGUAGGGGACAGAGAUGAUUGCGAUCGUGGCAGUAAAUUGUCAAGAGUAAUACUGAACAGAUUUUACCAUGUCUGCACCUGCUAAGAAAAAGUUACACAGAAGCUAAGGAGAAAGAUCUAAUGCUUGUGUGCUUGCUAAAUGAUUGCCCUCAAGUUGGUUGCGGCAGAAGAAGAUUAAAGAUAUUUCUUGAGAAGUUUAAUAUGAAUUUACCGAAAUUUCGACAUACUAUGAAGAAUAAGUGGCUACUAAUUCAAAGCUUUUUUUUUAAGAAUACUAUGGAUUACUUCUGUAAGAUAGCCUUGUUUGACAACAAGGCACACUGUCUCACAUAGUUACGUUUUUCUGUCUCCUUCUCAGGGAUAUGGGUUUCGACUUGGGUGGAGUUUUUGGCAAAUUAUCAUCAUUUAAAAUGGACAUAUCGGACUUUGAUUUCUCAAGCCCAGUCAAGAAAACCACAAAGACGAAAGAAAGGUUAGGCGACUUUGAACUUCAUUCAAGCCCACAGAAGAAGGCAAACGAGAGUACGACGACCAAGUCCACAGAUUUCAAACUCCAAAGAGUUCACUGCUACAAGAAGAAUUAAUAAGUUUGACUCUUUGGACUUUGGUCCAGACUUACCAACAACUAGACAAGCGGCCUCCAGGAGUCCAGAGACAUAUACCUAUGUCAAGGAAAAUAAUUCAGCUGAAAACGUCUACAGAGAGUAUGAGCAGCACACACUGGAAACAAGCUGAUAGUAUUUGCAUUGCAUCACUCGAAUCAAGCUCCAAUAGAGCAUGAAAAUUUCUGAGGAGGUGGAAUCACCUCAACAUCUAACGAUGAGAGCCUCACGAGUUCAUACAAUGCGUGGACAACUUUAGUACACCAACAUUUCACCAUUGAUUAUACCGUAUCCAAAGGUUGAAGAAAAUAGACAGCAUCACCUCGCCAUUACAUUCUUCUGAGACUGUACAUACUGCAGGAAGUAGAGAAACCAUUCUAUGAAAUAUGUAGUUCUGCUGCGAAAGAAGAUUCUCCUAGGGAUCCAAAACAGAUUGCCAACAAUAAAAAGAUUUCCACCACGAGAUCAGGUUAUGAAGCAACGAGUACAAAUACACCAUCUUCCAGCGAUGAACAGCACAACUCACCGUAACGUCUCCCUUCUCCUCCACAGCACAACUCACUGUAACGUCUCCCUUCUCCUCUGUUUCUGGGAAGUUAGGAAUUCCAAGAAAGGUGGAAAGUUUAUGGGGAUCGAUAUAGUUCUGGUAGAUGAGAAGGAUGCGGUCUACGAUGAUCCAGUGAUCGAUUAGCGUCCACCGCGUUGAACACGUUCCAACGCGAGAGGGAGGUAGUGAUGAGCUGAGUUCAUUUGAUGUGACAGAGAGCAAUCAGUACUCUCAGAGAGCCAGAAAAUCAUGGCAAGCUCAAGCUCGGCUCUUAUGAGGGUACUAUGUUUCUUGAUUAGUUAGACGGACUUGGCUGAAGCUAUAGGUGCUUUUUGUUUUAGACGGACUUAGCUGAAGCUAUAGGUGCUUCCCUCCUUCAGUCAAUAAGUGAUUACAUAUCUGACUUUGAUAUCUUUAUGAUCGCUUAUAACUGAGAGACUAAAGCCGGUGCAUGUCGAAGGAUUAACAAGCACAGUGAUUUCGAGUAUUGCCCAACUCCAAUGGAACAUGGUAGUUUCAUCUUGAAGUAUUUGCUCUUCUCUCUCAGUUUCCUUAGCCAGUUAGUACAAAUGAUUAUCAUCAUGGUCAUAGACAUGUCUGGUGAAUCUAAGCCAUCCGGUAUUUCUGGAGGGGUUUCCUCGAGUCCAAAAUCCGAAUCAAAGAUUCAUGAAUUCACAGAAAAGGUUCCAGCACAUGGUUGAUGCUUGUGGUGUGAACAAAUCACUGAAGAAUGUGGCUUUAAAGAAGGUGAUAACGUGAUCAUAGAAUAGCUGGAGUUGGUGUGGCAUGACUCAACCAAUGGCUCGAUCAAGACUAUGACACUCAGAUAGAUGGCCUCAAUGGAAAUGAACCAUCUUAGUUCUCUUGUGGAGUGUUUCUUAUAUCGACCCUAAAAGUGAAUCAGGUGUCUUUUCCAGUCAAUGAUUAUCCAACAAGUUUCAGAUCACUGAAUCAAUUUCUAUAUAUGUUUUUCCUACAAAAAUGAAUUUAUGCCUAAAUAGAACAGUUCAGCUAGAAAUAAACUAAAUAAAUUUUGUUUUUAUUUUUU